rnacentral:rRNA from 1 species
UCAUUAAGUGAAUACAUAGCUUAAUGAGGGGAACUCAGGGAACUGAAACAUCUAAGUACCUGAAGGAAGAGAAAGAAAUUCGAUUCCGUAAGUAGCGGCGAGCGAACGCGGAUUAGCCCAAACCAAUAAAGUUUUCUGUAUUGGGGUUGCGGACAUAUCAUAACGAAGAGGUAUCGUAAUUGAAGAGGUUUGGAAAGACCCACCACAGAAGGUAAUAGUCCUGUAUGUUAAACGAGAAGACUUCAGAUAUGAUCCAGAGUACCACGGGACACGUGAAACCCUGUGGGAAGCAGGAGGGACCACCCUCCAAGGCUAAAUACUACCUAGUGACCGAUAGCGUAUAGUACCGUGAGGGAAAGGUGAA